UACGAAGGGGGGCUAGCGUUGUUCGGAAUUACUGGGCGUAAAGCGCACGUAGGCGGGUCGUUAAGUCAGGGGUGAAAUCCCGGAGCUCAACUCCGGAACUGCCUUUGAUACUGGCGAUCUGGAGGUCGAGAGAGGUGAGUGGAAUUCCGAGUGUAGAGGUGAAAUUCGUAGAUAUUCGCAAGAACACCAGUGGCGAAGGCGGCUCACUGGCCCGAUACUGACGCUGAGGCACGAAAGCGUGGGGAGCAAACAGG
rnacentral:rRNA from 1 species